rnacentral:rRNA from 1 species
GACGAACGCUGGCGGCGUGCUUAACACAUGCAAGUCGAACGGAAAGGCCCCUUUGGGGGUACUCGAGUGGCGAACGGGUGAGUAACACGUGAGUAACCUGCCCUUGACUUCGGGAUAACUUCAGGAAACUGGGGCUAAUACCGGAUAGGAAUCCUUGCUGCAUGGUGGGGGUUGGAAAGCUUCGGCGGUUUUGGAUGGACUCGCGGCUUAUCAGCUUGUUGGUGGGGUAGUGGCUUACCAAGGCUUUGACGGGUAGCCGGCCUGAGAGGGCGACCGGCCACAUUGGGACUGAGAUACGGCCCAGACUCCUACGGGAGGCAGCAGUGGGGAAUAUUGCACAAUGGGCGGAAGCCUGAUGCAGCAACGCCGCGUGCGGGAUGACGGCCUUCGGGUUGGAAACCGCUUUCAGCAGGGGCGAAGCUUGUGGUGACGGUACCUGCAGAAGAAGCACCGGCUAACCACGUG